rnacentral:rRNA from 1 species
GAUGAACGCUGGCGGCGUGCCUAAUACAUGCAAGUCGAGCGAAGCGGGGACGGGUGAGUAACACGUGGGUAACCUCCUAUCAGACUGGGAUAACUUCGGGAAACCGGAGCUAAACCGGAUACUUAAAGCUGGAUCCCCUCGGCAUUAGCUAGUUGGUAAGUUAACGCCGUACAAAGGCAACGAGCCAUAGCAGACCUGAGAGGGUGAUCGGCGACACUGGAACUGAGACACGGUCCAGCCUCCUACGGGAGGAAGCAGUGGGGAAUCUUCCGCAAUGGGCGAAAGCCUGCCGGGGAAACGCCGCGUGAGUGAUGAAGGUCUUCGGAUCGUAAACCUCUGUUAUUGGGGAAGCGGUACCUAAUCAGAAAGGCACGGCUAACUACGUGCCAGCAGCCGCGGUAAUAC